GCUGGGCAUAGUAGUGCAUACCUGUAAUCCCAGUGACUCUGGAGGCUGAGGCAAGAGAAUCACAAGUUUGAGGAUAGCCUGGGCAAUUUAGUGAUACCUUAUCUCAA
rnacentral:sRNA from 1 species